rnacentral:rRNA from 1 species
AGUCUUAUGAUAUUUUAUAUAAGAUUGCUUCUGCCCAGUGAAUUAUAUUUUAACGGCCGCAGUACUCUGACUGUGCUAAGGUAGCAUAAUAAAUUGAUUUUUAAUUGAAAUCUUGAAUGAACGGAAUAUUGAGGGAGAGUCUGUCUUUACAAAUAUUUAUCUAACUUGCUUAUAAAGUGAAAAUACUUUAAAAAAAGACAAAAGACGAGAAGACCCUUAGAAUUUUUAAAAUAAUAAUUAUUAUUUGUUGAUUUUUGUUGGGGUGACAAAGUAACAUAUUGGAACUUACUUCUAAGACAAACCAAUUUUUGUUUUUUUGAAAAAAUUACCUAAGGGAUAACAGCAUAAUUCUUUUUAGAGAUUGUGACCUCGAUGUUGGACUAGGGACCUAAUAGUUAGUAACUAAAAUGGAUAGUUCUGUUCGAACUUUUUACCCU